rnacentral:rRNA from 1 species
UACGUAGGGGGCAAGCGUUAUCCGGAAUCACUGGGUGUAAAGGGUGCGUAGGCGGCAAUGUAAGUCAGAUGUGAAAUCCCGGGGCUCAACCCCGGGCGUGCAUUUGAAACUGCAUAGCUAGAGUGCAGGAGAGGAAAGUGGAAUUCCUAGUGUAGCGGUGAAAUGCGUAGAUAUUAGGAGGAACACCAGUGGCGAAGGCGACUUUCUGGACUGUAACUGACGCUGAUGCACGAAAGCGUGGGUAGCGAACAGGAUUAGAUACCCUGGUAGUCCACGCCGUAAACGAUGAGUGCUAGGUGUCGGGGGGUCAUACCCUCGGUGCCGGAGCAAACGCAUUAAGCACUCCACCUGGGGAAUACGUUCGCAAGAAUGAA